rnacentral:rRNA from 1 species
CCACGGGGGGCCUACGGGAGGCAGCAGUGGGGAAUAUUGCGCAAUGGGCGAAAGCCUGACGCAGCGCCGCCGCGUGAGGGAUGAAGGCCUUCGGGUCGUAAACCUCUGUCAGGAGGGAAGAAGUGCAUGGGUAGUAACUGACUCAUCUUUGACGGUACCUCCAGAGGAAGCCCCGGCUAACUCCGUGCCAGCAGCCGCGGUAAUACGUAGGUUGCAAGCGUUAUCCGGAAUUACUGGGCGUAAAGCGCGCGUAGGCGGCUUUGUAAGUCAGAGGUGAAAUCCCACGGCUCAACCGGUGGAACUGCCUUUGAUACUGCAGAGCUUGAGUGCGCGGAGAGGGUGGCGGAAUUCCUGGUGUAGCAGUGACAUCCGUAGAUAUCAGGAGGAACACCGGUGGCGAAGGCGGCCAUCCUGGCCCGAUACUGACGCUGAGGUGCGAAAGCUGGGAGCACC